UGGGGAAUAUUGGACAAUGGGCGCAAGCCUGAUCCAGCCAUACCGCGUGGGUGGAGAAGGCCUUCGGGUUGUAAAGCCCUUUUGUUGGGAAAGAAAUCCUGUCGAUUAAUACUCGGUGGGGAUGACGGUACCCAAAGAAUAAGCACCGGCUAACUUCGUGCCAGCAGCCGCGGUAAUACGAAGGGUGCAAGCGUUACUCGGAAUUACUGGGCGUAAAGCGUGCGUAGGUGGUGGUUUAAGUCUGCUGUGAAAGCCCUGGGCUCAACCUGGGAAUUGCAGUGGAUACUGGAUCACUAGAGUGUGGUAGAGGGAUGCGGAAUUUCUGGUGUAGCAGUGAAAUGCGUAGAGAUCAGAAGGAACAUCCGUGGCGAAGGCGGCAUCCUGGGCCAACACUGACACUGAGGCACGAAAGCGUGGGGAGCAAACAG
rnacentral:rRNA from 1 species